rnacentral:tRNA from 1 species
GGAAGCGCCAAGCUCACUGGUGGGGCUCCCGGACUUCAAAUCCGGUGCAGGGCACUGAGGGGUGUCCUGGGUGGGUUCGAUUCCCAUGCGCUUCCGCCA